GUAGGGGAGCAAGCGUUGUUCGGAAUUAUUGGGCGUAAAGAGCGCGUAGGCGGGCCAGGUAAGUCUGGGUGUGAAAUCCCACAGCUCAACUGUGGAACUGCAUUGGAAACUGCUUGGCUAGAGUGCGGGAGAGGAGAGUGGAAUUCCCAGUGUAGAGGUGAAAUUCGUAGAUAUUGGGAGGAACACCAGUGGCGAAGGCGGCUCUCUGGACCGCAACUGACGCUGAGGCGCGAAAGCUAGGGGAGCGAACGGGAUUAGAUACCCCGGUAGUCCUAGCCGUAAACGAUGGGCACUAGGUGUAGGAGGUAUCGACCCCUUCUGUGCCGUAGCUAACGCAUUAAGUGCCCCGCCUGGGGAGUACGGUCGCAAGACUA
rnacentral:rRNA from 1 species